AGUGAACGCUGGCGGUAGGCCUAACACAUGCAAGUCGAACGGCAGCACAGUAAGAGCUUGCUCUUACGGGUGGCGAGUGGCGGACGGGUGAGGAAUACAUCGGAAUCUACUUUUUCGUGGGGGAUAACGUAGGGAAACUUACGCUAAUACCGCAUACGACCUACGGGUGAAAGCAGGGGAUCUUCGGACCUUUCGCGAUUGAAUGAGCCGAUGUCGGAUUAGCUAGUUGGCGGGGUAAAGGCCCACCAAGGCGACGAUCCGUAGCUGGUCUGAGAGGAUGAUCAGCAACACUGGAACGGAGACACGGUCCAGACUCCUACGGGAGGCAGCAGUGGGGAAUAUUGGACAAUGGGCGCAAGCCUGAUCCAGCCAUACGGGGUGGGUGAAGAAGGCCUUCGGGUUGUAAAGCCCUUUUGUUGGGAAAGAAAAGCGGCAGGUUAAUACCCCGCUGUUCUGACGGUACCAAAGAAUAAGCACCGGCUAACUUCGUG
rnacentral:rRNA from 1 species